AUUAAUUUUAUAUUAUUUUUUUAACAAAUUAUUACUAUUCUUAUUCUUAUUUAUUUAUUUAUUUAUAUUUUAAUGCUUUAUUAUUAUCUAUCUCAGAGGUAAGAACACGCCACCGCUUUUACUCUACGGCGAAACUGCUCUCGAUCUCGCUCGUUCACGAUCUUCCUCCGCUCUGGUCUUGCUCUGUUCACGAUCUCGCUUCGAUCUCACUCUCCUCAAUACAUCUCGCUGCGGUUGCUAUUCUUCGUUGAAAUUUGAUGAUGUCUUCUGUUUCUUCUCCGAUUGCAGUGUAACUUAAAUUUCAACACUCUAAUUU
rnacentral:lncRNA from 1 species